UACGUAGGGGGCUAGCGUUGCUCGGAAUUACUGGGCGUAAAGCGCACGUAGGCGGUCUUUUAAGUCGGGGGUGAAAUCCUGGAGCUCAACUCCAGAACUGCCUUCGAUACUGGAAGACUUGAGUCCGGGAGAGGUGAGUGGAACUGCGAGUGUAGAGGUGAAAUUCGUAGAUAUUCGCAAGAACCCCAGUGGCGAAGGCGGCUCACUGGCCCGGUACUGACGCUGAGGUGCGAAAGCGUGGGGAGCAAACAGG
rnacentral:rRNA from 1 species